GGGCCGGCGGCGGGAGCUCCGGUGCGCGGCGGCGGCGGCGGCAGGAUGAAUGAGGCGGAGGGCCUGCGGCAGCGCCGGCCGUUCCGCCCGCAGGUCAUUACCGAGGACAGCCCGGCGCAGGAGGCUAAGGAGGGCAGUACUUACAGCAGCAAGGUGUUCCGUGUUACCUUCUUGACUUUGGCUGCCUCUGUAACUGUGCCCCUACUUGGAGUAACGGUUCUACUGGAUUGUCCUAUAGACCCUCAGCCUAUAAGUUUGAAGGAACCUCCCCUCCUGACGGGUGUGCUGGAGCCCAACACCGAGUUACGAAAAGCUGAGCGGUUAUGGGAGAAUCAGCUGGUUGGACCAGAGUCCAUUGUGAAUAUUGGGGAUGUGCUAUUUACUGGGACAGCUGAUGGGAAGAUUAUCAAAAUUGAAGAUGGGGAAAUACAAACAAUAGCCAGAAUUGGCCAUGGGCCUUGUGGGACCCGUGAAGAUGAACCGACAUGUGGAAGGCCACUGGGCAUCAGAGUGGGGCCAAAUAACACUCUUUUUGUGGCAGAUGCUUAUUAUGGACUCUAUGAAGUUAAUCCUGGUACAGGUGAAACAAAAAUGCUUGUGUCAACCAAAACCCUAAUUGAAGGUCAAAAGUUGUCAUUUGUGAAUGAUCUUACAGUGACCCGUGAUGGGAGGAAAAUCUACUUCACUGACUCCAGUAGCAAAUGGCAAAGAAGGGACUACUUAUUCUUGGUUAUGGAAGGCACAGAUGAUGGGCGCCUGCUUGAAUAUGACACAGUAACAAAAGAAGUGAAAGUCUUAAUGGUGGGGCUGAGGUUUCCUAAUGGUGUCCAGCUCUCUCCUGCAGAAGACUUUGUCCUGGUGCAGGAGACAACCAUGGCUAGAAUCAGGAGGUAUUAUGUGUCCGGGCUGAUGAAAGGUGGAGCAGAUAUGUUUGUUGAGAAUAUGCCUGGUCUUCCAGAUAAUAUCAGGUUAAGCAGCUCUGGAGGAUAUUGGGUAGCUAUGUCAGCUGUCCGGCCCAAUCCUGGAUUUUCUUUGUUGGAUUUCUUGUCUGAAAAGCCAUGGAUUAAAAAGAUGAUAUUUAAGCUGCUGAGUCAGGAAACCGUGACGAAGUUUGUGCCCAAGUAUAGCCUUGUGGUUGAACUUAGCGAGACGGGAUCCUACAGAAGAAGCUUUCAUGAUCCCAAUGGAGUGAUGGUAGCUUAUGUUAGCGAGGCACACGAGCACAAUGGAUAUCUUUACCUGGGCUCCUUCCGGUCUCCAUUUAUUUGCAGACUUAAUCUUCAGCAUGUUUAACUGUCCAUCUGUGAUAAAGUGCCACUGUCCUACGAUACUCCGGAGGUACAAAGGAAACGUGCUUGAAGCGGUGUGUGACCAAGGACAAAAAGUGAAAGACAGUCUCUUAACGUGCAGUAGCAUUGUCCCAUUGCCACAGGAAAAAUGUACAGCUUGCUGUGCCCGUCCUAUUCCUUGAUCUUGGUUUGACUGGUCUUGCUUUGGAGUUGCCCUGUGUAAUUAUUAAUAUCUGAGGAGUAUGGUGGGGCAUUUUCAUACGGUUAUGUGCUCCUUAAAGAAAAUCCAUUGCAUUUCCAUCUCCAGCCCUGUUUGGAGUCAUCUUAAACAGACAUCACGUGUCACCUUUAAUGCAACUGGAUAUCUUCUUAUGCUAGAAGGGUUUGUGAUGUAUGGAAUUUAAUUGUGUAUGAUUUGGAUUGAAGAGGAUGUCUUGCAUGUGUUUAUUUUGGUUUUAGAACCUCCUGUUUAGGAGUGCUUACAGUGCAUGUUCUAAUGUCAUACCAUGAUGCUGUGGUAGAGGCAGCAAUAUCCAGAACAUGCCUAAAAAUCUAGUUAUACCAUUUGGGUUUCUUCAGUUCCAGCCUGUGUAAUCAACAUCAGACACUGCAAUUAACUGUUAAUCAACAUGCAGAAUCAAAUUUGAUCCAUUAUCUGUGGACUCCUGUGUUUCUUUAUAGCGUUGUAGUCAGAUGAUGAAUGAAAGUUGCCUUUUCUAUCUUAUUAAAGGCUGGUUCCAGUGGGUUUAAAAA